CUUUGUGGAGUGGAGAGCAUUUGUGUUUGUCACUGUGCAGUAGGGCAGGCUGUCAUUGAACUAAUUACCUAUAAUUGCAGCCUUUUAUGUCACCGCGAUACGCAGGCGGCCCCAGGCCCCCGAUCAGAAUGGGAAACCAGCCUCCGGGAGGAGUUCCUGGGACACAGCCAUUGCUGCCCAAUUCUAUGGAUCCCACACGACAACAAGGCCACCCCAACAUGGGAGGAUCAAUGCAGAGAAUGAACCCUCCCCGAGGCAUGGGGCCCAUGGGUCCCGGCCCACAGAAUUACGGCAGCGGCAUGAGACCACCACCCAACUCCCUCGGCCCCGCCAUGCCCGGGAUUAACAUGGGCCCGGGAGCUGGCAGACCCUGGCCCAAUCCUAACAGUGCUAACUCAAUUCCAUACUCCUCCUCAUCACCUGGUACCUAUGUGGGACCCCCUGGUGGUGGCGGCCCUCCAGGAACACCUAUUAUGCCCAGUCCCGCAGAUUCAACAAAUUCCAGUGACAACAUCUACACAAUGAUUAAUCCGGUGCCGCCUGGAGGCAGCCGGUCCAACGUAAGUCUGCUUUCUAAUAAUUUACAUAUCAGA
rnacentral:sRNA from 1 species